rfam:Angiostrongylus cantonensis strain Taiwan genome assembly, scaffold: ACAC_contig0007111
CGCUCUGUGGAAUAAUAGAUAAGGCGUCGGUCUCCUAAGCCAAAGAUUCAAGGUUCGAGUCCUUGCUGGGUGG